GCAGCCCCAUACAAAUAGACGUAAGGUUUGUUUUCCUGCUAAUCUGUUGGUUGAAUGAAAGCUCCUCCUAAGAACACUGCUAAAUGCUAGGUGCUUCAGAAGUGUUUUGUAUCAUUUAAAUAUGCACCUUAGAUAAAAUGGAAGGAUACCACCCUGUUUAAAUAGAGACAUUAAAAAAUUUGUCUUUAUUUCUCUGUAUUGUACGUUAGGUAUAUUUUUUCAUUUUUUCCUGUGGAAAGUGUAUUCUGUUAUCCCAUGUUAACGGCAAGAAAUUAACGGUGUGAAUAGAAAGCAUAGAGAAUAAAAUGGACCCAGAACGCCUAGGAUCUGUUCCUAAGUCUGUUGUUGAAUAAUUAUUCUGGCUGAUGCCUACAAACAAAUAUACCUGUGUUUUCACCUUGUGUAUUCUUCCUUCUUUCCCUUUUUCUUAUCGCUUUCUCUCAUUUCGCUGCCCAAACUUGUUUGCUCACAGGUACAUUUGUUUGGAGCUUUCAAGAAGGAGAGUCCCAGGGAGCAAAGCUUACUUAAUAGCAAGUACAGAAUGCAGAUCUCUGAUAUGCAGACUAAGGUGGAAGCAGUAAGUGAGGAAGGCCUAUUGCAGUAUUCAUCCCCUCUGCUGUGUAACAGGCGAAAUCUAAAAUCAGUAUAUUUCUUCAUAUUCUGAUGAUGUCCUGAUGAGGCCAGUAUUUUGUCAAGGAACGAAAAUUAAAGCAUUUAAGAAGAAAAAAGAUGAUUUUAAAGCUAAGGAAAAUCAUGGAGUUUAUUUAUAUCCAGUAAACUUGAGUAACUCAAUUUGUUUAACUUUUCAAAAAGACAACCUAGAAGGGAUUUGAUUGCUAUUAUGUGAAUAGUUCAUCCCUGACAAAAAGGAGUUGACAGAGAGGCCUCUGAUUUUUCAGAGAAAGACAUAAUAUACUUUGAUUUAUGGCGAAAUUCUAAUGAGAUACUAGUCUCAAAUAUUUAAUCUUCUGAAAAUAAAGGGGAGUCCAAAUGCAAAUUUUCUAUGUCCUGUCAUCUUAUGCCUAAAUUCUGGAAGUUAUUCCUUAUGAGAAGAUGAAAGAGAAAUAGGGAAACUAAGUGCAAUAGAGGUUUAGCUCACUUGUUUGUAUCACCCUUUGAUAUGCUUAUUGGUCUGGAAGGUAUUUACAAUGUGAAAAUGAUCAGUGAAAGUUAAGAUGCUGUCCUGUUUUUUAUUAACUGUAAUUAAAUACUGAGUUCAAUAUGAUUUUAAAAAAACAAAACAAAACACAGAGGGUGUUGCAACUGAAUUUCUGGUUUCUUCCUCCUCAUUACAUUCACUUUUUGUGACUUGACAUUUGUAUUUGAAUGCACAAAAGAUCUUUGUUAUCAGACAACUAUCUAAACCUCAUUGGAGAGGCUUUCCCCAGUUAGACUUAUGCACAAAGAGUUGGUCUGUGCAGAAGUCUGCAUAGGAAUACAGGUAGAGAUGAAAGCAAAAUAAACAACUUAAUUUAGAAAAUAGGAAAAUGUAGAGAUGAAGUUUGGUUAUGCAUUCCAAUUUCAGAAAGUCACGGAUAUGCCUAUCACUGGGUUGAUACCUGCUUACGUAUAUGGAAACUUUUUACAGGAAAGCCCUAUUUAUGCAUUCAGCUUGAGGGGGGGAAAUUAAAUCUGAUUGAAGUUUGUAAAAUUUAAUUUAAGUGAAAUCGCACCUGCUAGUGGAGGAGAAAAAUAUUGAGUUCAGAACUACGCAUUACUUAUUUUCCUCAGGAGGCGCUCAUUCAUGCUCCCAAAGCUCCAAACUGAAGGAAAACAUGAGUUGGGAACCAGUCUUAACUAUUAGACUGCCUCUUUUGGAACAAUUAUGGACUCUUUGUUCUUAUUUUCCUCUGAUGUUACAUGACAUGUGACUCCUAUUUGACUAUCACGAAAGACUCUUGAAAGAUGAAAUUCAGUUCCGUCGGAACAUCUUUCAAAAUCACAAAUAUGAGGAAUUCAUAGGCUUCUAUCUCCAUAAUUGUUUCAUUAGAUAGAGUUGGGCCAAAGUAGUAGUAGUCACAUUUAUUUAAAUCUUGUGACAGGUUCAUGUAAGAAAAGUUACCAACAGCACGAUGAUAAAUAUAUGUGAAACCAUUACAUUUUGAUUUCACUUUAAAUUACCAUUGGUUAUUUUUUACACUGUACCUUCUUACUAUCAUAGCAUUAAUCUUCACCAAGACUAACAGUUUUCCUGAAUGCCUUUCUAGGGGUACCUUUACAUUCUCAAAAUAAUAUAGUAUUGAUUAAAAAAGAUUAUUCAGAAAUGUACUAGCCACUUUGAUUUUGUGUGUUAUGUGGCUUGAUAAGUAGUUUUGUUAGUUCCAACAAUCCUUCCAGUACAGAGGCAAAGAUUUAACUCAAGUUUUUCAUCCAAGCACAAUUACACAUGGCAGUUCUUUUACGUAUUUUAUCCACUAAUAAUACAGACAAAUUUAAGCAAUAGCACUAUACCAAUAAGCCUUCAGUUUUUAAAGGUGUUUUUUCUUAAUUUAGAAAUAUUUACACUCAGUGUUUGGAUUAUUUUAUUCCAUGAUUCCCUAGUAAAUGUUAGUAUGUCUAUCAGAAAAAUGUUGUUUGUGUUGGAUUAAGAAUUGUUCUUGUAGGUAAUAUCGGAAAACUGCUUUCAAGGGGAAAAUUGCUACUUGAAUAUAUUUCUCAUGAAGUACUCACAUAAUCAUCAUUCUGCUGUCACAAUAAGCCGUAAAGUUAUUUGAUUUUUAAAAAGCUUAAGCCUGGUAAGGAAACAAUAUUUUCUUGUUGGCAUGUCUAAAACUAUUUCUUUUUUUUGCUGUACUUUAUAUGAACUUAAGAGCCUCUUGUAAAAAUAAAAAUAAAAAAAAAAUGAUACAGAUCAACAUACGUUGACUUUUGUUUUCUGCCAGUGGUAGUAGUUGGAUGGAAUGCUUAUCUCUACAUAUUCACAAAUAUUCCGCUGGGAGCAUUACAGCAUUCACCAUGCAAGUAGAGAGGUCAGAAAUGCCAGUGAGUUGAAAUGUUGAUGUGGAGAAAAAAAACAUUAUCUUUUCAAAAUUAAUGACUGGCAUUUUUCAUACGUCAAGCUUUAUGUAAUAAAAUGGAUGUAAAGGAGUUAUCUUUUCUUGUAAUAUGCCUUGGUUGUCAAAAAACAAAGUAGUUGCAUAAAAUCAUAACUUCUGUUAAGAAAUAAGAGGUAGUGUUCUUGACCAACUCUUUGCAGACCUCAUGGCAACUGGAAAUCGAAGUGCAGCCUUGUAGAGUAGCUUGCUUUCAUGUUUUCUCCAUGGUGCUUAAUGGUAUCUACAAUGACUAAAUGCAACAUGUUCCAAAGGGUGCAGUAAAUUGAGGCCUUAAUUAACCAGCUUUGGUUUUGGGUCUGAAUUAAUUAAAACCUUGACAGGUACAAAACUCUUAAUAGCUUUCCAUUAGAAGCAGCUACACAACAUUACUACACUUCGACGACAUAAAAGCAAAACAGAGGAACACCUGUUAGUGCCCAAGGAUCCAUUUAAAUUUAUUCAGGAAUGUCCUGCACAGAUGUGGGGCUGUUAUUUUUAUUAUUUUUUCUUUUUAGAAAAUCUCGUAACGUGAUUCGUGACCACUCUAGUCUUAGUGUCUGCCAUCACGUCUAAAUUGACUGCAAACAACUCUUUUGUUGUUUGUUGAGCUGCUUUCCACUGCUGUAACUUCUUGAAGUAGUUUCCUGCAUUGUGAAAGAGAAGGGGCUGCUGAGUAGCGAGCCAAAGUGACGGACCACCAGCUUCAGAGGAGGACACGUGGAAGAGG